rnacentral:rRNA from 1 species
GGAUGCGAUCAUACCAGCACUAAAGCACCGCAUCCCAUCAGAACUCCGAAGUUAAGCAUGCUUGGGCGAGAGUAGUACUAGGAUGGGUGACCUCCUGGGAAGUCCUCGUGUUGCAUUCC